CGAGCGGAAACGAGUUAUCUGAACCUUCGGGGAACGAUAACGGCGUCGAGCGGCGGACGGGUGAGUAAUGCCUAGGAAAUUGCCCUGAUGUGGGGGAUAACCAUUGGAAACGAUGGCUAAUACCGCAUGAUGCCUACGGGCCAAAGAGGGGGACCUUCGGGCCUCUCGCGUCAGGAUAUGCCUAGGUGGGAUUAGCUAGUUGGUGAGGUAAGGGCUCACCAAGGCGACGAUCCCUAGCUGGUCUGAGAGGAUGAUCAGCCACACUGGAACUGAGACACGGUCCAGACUCCUACGGGAGGCAGCAGUGGGGAAUAUUGCACAAUGGGCGCAAGCCUGAUGCAGCCAUGCCGCGUGUGUGAAGAAGGCCUUCGGGUUGUAAAGCACUUUCAGUCGUGAGGAAGGUAGUGUAGUUAAUAGCUGCAUUAUUUGACGUUAGCGACAGAAGAAGCACCGGCUAACUCCGUGCCAGCAGCCGCGGUAAUACGGAGGGUGCGAGCGUUAAUCGGAAUUACUGGGCGUAAAGCGCAUGCAGGUGGUUUGUUAAGUCAGAUGUGAAAGCCCGGGGCUCAACCUCGGAAUUGCAUUUGAAACUGGCAGACUAGAGUACUGUAGAGGGGGGUAGAAUUUCAGGUGUAGCGGUGAAAUGCGUAGAGAUCUGAAGGAAUACCGGUGGCGAAGGCGGCCCCCUGGACAGAUACUGACACUCAGAUGCGAAAGCGUGGGGAGCAAACAGGAUUAGAUACCCUGGUAGUCCACGCCGUAAACGAUGUCUACUUGGAGGUUGUGGCCUUGAGCCGUGGCUUUCGGAGCUAACGCGUUAAGUAGACCGCCUGGGGAGUACGGUCGCAAGAUUAAAACUCAAAUGAAUUGACGGGGGCCCGCACAAGCGGUGGAGCAUGUGGUUUAAUUCGAUGCAACGCGAAGAACCUUACCUACUCUUGACAUCCAGAGAACUUUCCAGAGAUGGAUUGGUGCCUUCGGGAACUCUGAGACAGGUGCUGCAUGGCUGUCGUCAGCUCGUGUUGUGAAAUGUUGGGUUAAGUCCCGCAACGAGCGCAACCCUUAUCCUUGUUUGCCAGCGAGUAAUGUCGGGAACUCCAGGGAGACUGCCGGUGAUAAACCGGAGGAAGGUGGGGACGACGUCAAGUCAUCAUGGCCCUUACGAGUAGGGCUACACACGUGCUACAAUGGCGCAUACAGAGGGCAGCCAACUUGCGAAAGUGAGCGAAUCCCAAAAAGUGCGUCGUAGUCCGGAUUGGAGUCUGCAACUCGACUCCAUGAAGUCGGAAUCGCUAGUAAUCGUGGAUCAGAAUGCCACGGUGAAUACGUUCCCGGGCCUUGUACACACCGCCCGUCACACCAUGGGAGUGGGCUGCAAAAG
rnacentral:rRNA from 1 species